GAUAGCUCAGUCAGUAAAGCAUGAGGCUCUUAAUCUUAUGAGUCAUGGGUUCGAGCCCCACGUGGGGCA